rnacentral:rRNA from 1 species
GACGAACGCUGGCGGCGUGCUUAACACUUGCAAGUCGAACGGUAAGGCCCUUCGGGGUACACGAGUGGCGAACGGGUGAGUAACACGUGGGUGAUCUGCCCUGCACUUCGGGAUAAGCCUGGGAAACUGGGUCUAACACCGGAUAGGACCACUGCCUGCAUGGGUGGUGGUGGAAAGCUUUUGCGGUGUGGGAUGGGCCCGCGGCCUAUCAGCUUGUUGGUGGGGUGAUGGCCGACCAAGGCGACGACGGGUAGCCGGCCUGAGAGGGUGACCGGCCACACUGGGACUGAGAUACGGCCCAGACUCCUACGGGGGGCAGCAGUGGGGAAUAUUGCACAAUGGGCGCAAGCCUGAUGCAGCGACGCCGCGUGAGGGAUGACGGCCUCCGGGUUGUAAACCUCUUUCAGCACCGACGAAGCGCAAGUGACGGUAGGUGCAGAAGAAGGACCGGCCAACUACGUGCCAGCCGCCGCCGUAA